rnacentral:lncRNA from 15 species
AUGAAAGUCUGUCACACUUUGAUCUGCUUCUUCUUCCUCUCACUGUGGGAUGGAAACACUGGUCCCAUCAAAAAAGAAAUCCCUGUCCAUACACGAACUGAAGGAGGAAACAUUACAGUUAAAUGCUCCUUCUCUUCGUCUGGAAGCAGGAAGAUCUUCUGUAAGAGAGAAUGUGAAGGAAAAGACAUUCUCAUUGAAACAAAUGAGAGCAGAGCUCAGAGUGGCAGAUACAGCAUCGAAUAUGAAGAAGAACCUUAUGUUUCUGCAGUUCUGAAUGUGAGCAUCACAAACCUGACUAAGUCUGACUCGGGGCGGUACAGAUGUUGGUUGGACAGAAAACGGUCACCAGAUUCAACCAGGGACUUUGAGCUCAGAGUUGAAGAUGCUCCAACCACUUCAAAACCAAAGUGGAAAACCACCACCAAAGCACCUUUUACACCAUCAGUCCCAUCAGCCUCCACACCGACAACAACACAGAGUUUAAGCUCCAGUUCAGGAAGCUCCACACCUUCAUCAUCCUCCCCUGAAACCACCAACCAGCCUGAACAGCAACAGAGAGCUGCAGGUCCAGGUUUGCCGCUGUAUGUGAGUCUGACUCUGGUCGUCAUCAUCAUCGUAUUAUCAGCGGCUGUGCUGAUAUUCUGCAGGAAGAGGACCAGUAAACCCAAAGAACCUCCUGUGGAAACUGAGUAUGCUAAUGGGACAGAGGUGAGUUUGAGUACAUUUGGGAUAUUUCAGUGUCAUUAGUGUUUGUGACAGCAGCUGAUAUUAAUACAAACAGACCCCUGUUCUCUUCCUGCAGACCAACAGAGUGUAUGAGGAGAUCAGAGAGGAGGACAGACAGAGCAGAUCUCCUUCUGCAGAAAUAUCUACAGUUUACACUUACGCCAAAUACUCCAAACCAAAUGCAGUUGAAACCACAGAUGAGUACAGCCUUAUCACUGCAGCCGGUCCCCAGAACAAAGUGAGUAAAACUAUGGUCAGAUUUUAGGAUUUAGGCUUAAAACACAUUUAGGCUACAUCCACUAAUAUAACUUGACAUGGUAAUUUAGAUUUUUACACAUUUCAC